rnacentral:rRNA from 1 species
CAUGCAAGUCGAGCGGUAGCACAGAGAGCUUGCUCUCGGGUGACGAGCGGCGGACGGGUGAGUAAUGUCUGGGAAACUGCCUGAUGGAGGGGGAUAACUACUGGAAACGGUAGCUAAUACCGCAUAAUGUCGCAAGACCAAAGUGGGGGACCUUCGGGCCUCAUGCCAUCAGAUGUGCCCAGAUGGGAUUAGCUAGUAGGUGGGGUAACGGCUCACCUAGGCGACGAUCCCUAGCUGGUCUGAGAGGAUGACCAGCCACACUGGAACUGAGACACGGUCCAGACUCCUACGGGAGGCAGCAGUGGGGAAUAUUGCACAAUGGGCGCAAGCCUGAUGCAGCCAUGCCGCGUGUGUGAAGAAGGCCUUCGGGUUGUAAAGCACUUUCAGCGGGGAGGAAGGCGGUGAGGUUAAUAACCUUGUCGAUUGACGUUACCCGCAGAAGAAGCACCGGCUAACUCCGUGCCAGCAGCCGCGGUAAUACGGAGGGUGCAAGCGUUAAUCGGAAUUACUGGGCGUAAAGCGCACGCAGGCGGUCUGUCAAGUCGGAUGUGAAAUCCCCGGGCUCAACSUGGGAACUGCAUUCGAAACUGGCAGGCUAGAGUCUUGUAGAGGGGGGUAGAAUUCCAGGUGUAGCGGUGAAAUGCGUAGAGAUCUGGAGGAAUACCGGUGGCGAAGGCGGCCCCCUGGACAAAGACUGACGCUCAGGUGCGAAAGCGUGGGGAGCAAACAGGAUUAGAUACCCUGGUAGUCCACGCCGUAAACGAUGUCGAUUUGGAGGUUGUGCCCUUGAGGCGUGGCUUCCGGAGCUAACGCGUUAAAUCGACCGCCUGGGGAGUACGGCCGCAAGGUUAAAACUCAAAUGAAUUGACGGGGGCCCGCACAAGCGGUGGAGCAUGUGGUUUAAUUCGAUGCAACGCGAAGAACCUUACCUGGUCUUGACAUCCACAGAACUUUCCAGAGAUGGAUUGGUGCCUUCGGGAACUGUGAGACAGGUGCUGCAUGGCUGUCGUCAGCUCGUGUUGUGAAAUGUUGGGUUAAGUCCCGCAACGAGCGCAACCCUUAUCCUUUGUUGCCAGCGGUUAGGCCGGGAACUCAAAGGAGACUGCCAGUGAUAAACUGGAGGAAGGUGGGGAUGACGUCAAGUCAUCAUGGCCCUUACGACCAGGGCUACACACGUGCUACAAUGGCAUAUACAAAGAGAAGCGACCUCGCGAGAGCAAGCGGACCUCAUAAAGUAUGUCGUAGUCCGGAUUGGAGUCUGCAACUCGACUCCAUGAAGUCGGAAUCGCUAGUAAUCGUAGAUCAGAAUGCUACGGUGAAUACGUUCCCGGGCCUUGUACACACCGCCCGUCACACCAUGGGAGUGGGUUGCAAAAGAAGUAGGUAGCUUAACCUUCGGGAGGGCGCUACC